UUUAGGUUUAGGCUGAUUUCUCCUAAGGGUGUGUGGUGGCUGGAAGAGUUUCUCUUACAGAGGAAGUUUAUAAGAAAAGUGAGAGAGUGCGAUCUUCAGUGUGUGCUGCACGGGCAGUGGUGUGGACCCAGAGUUCAGGCACAGGCGAAGAACGGACACGGAUUUCACACUCCUGAUAGGAACAUGGACUUGGAGGUUGCUCGUGAAUCCCAGGACCUCCACCGCAUCUACAGGCAAGAGGGGCAUCCCCACCACCAGCUCUACCAGCACCACCUCUAACUGCAGGAAUUGCUCCUCCAAGUCCUUCGCCUCUACUAAAUGGUAUCCACCGCCAUUGCCUCUGUUGGGGGAUCGGUGAUCCAUAAUCACACCACCCGCUCUGAAUUAUGAAAUGGAAGUA